UACGGAGGAUCCGAGCGUUAUCCGGAUUUAUUGGGUUUAAAGGGUGCGCAGGCGGGAGAUUAAGUCAGCGGUGAAAUUUUGCAGCUUAACUGUAACAGUGCCGUUGAUACUGGGGAGCUAGGAUUUGGUUGCUGUGGGUGGAAUGUGUGGUGUAGCGGUGAAAUGCUUAGAGAUCACACAGAAUAUCGAUUGCGAAGGCAGCUCACAAAGCCAAGAUUGACGCUGAGGCACGAAAGUGUGGGGAUCAAACAGGA
rnacentral:rRNA from 1 species